AAGAACAAUAUGAAAAAUCUGCUGCAGGAAGAGCAGCACGUGCACAAAUGGCAGCUGCUGCCAAGCAAGCAACGAAUGCGAACCAAGGAGAACCAGUUCUUAAAUGGCAGAUGGGAUGAACAUUAGCUCUCUUAGGUCAACUUCUUCCAUUCAUUGUACUGAGAGUUGAAGUUUGAUAUCCAACAGUUGUAAAUAUGUUGCUCUUAUUUAAUUUAGUGUUUUCUCCAAUCUAUAUAUUUGUAAACUGAAAUGAGAAUAAGGUGGAACAUAUCUGACAGUUUGUAUUUCCACCAGUCAAUUUACUCUUCUCUUGUUUGUGUACACAAAUGUAAUUCAAAGGGCUUCUCAACAUUCAAUUUACAGAGGAAAGUAAUGCAUUCGAAUAUCAUUUUUCG